CAACCUGCCCACCACUUGGGGAUAACCUUGCGAAAGUAAGACUAAUACCCAAUGAUAUCUCUAGNAGACAUCUGAAAGAGAUUAAAGAUUUAUCGGUGAUGGAUGGGGAUGCGUCUGAUUAGCUUGUUGGCGGGGUAACGGCCCACCAAGGCGACGAUCAGUAGGGGUUCUGAGAGGAAGGCCCCCCACAUUGGAACUGAGACACGGUCCAAACUCCUACGGGAGGCAGCAGUGAGGAAUAUUGGUCAAUGGACGAGAGUCUGAACCAGCCAAGUAGCGUGCAGGAAGACGGCCCUAUGGGUUGUAAACUGCUUUUAUAAGGGAAUAAAGUGAGAGUCGUGACUCUUUUUGCAUGUACCUUAUGAAUAAGGACCGGCUAAUUCCGUGCCAGCAGCCGCGGUAAUACGGAAGGUCCGGGCGUUAUCCGGAUUUAUUGGGUUUAAAGGGAGCGUAGGCCGGAGAUUAAGCGUGUUGUGAAAUGUAGAUGCUCAACAUCUGAACUGCAGCGCGAACUGGUUUCCUUGAGUACGCACAAAGUGGGCGGAAUUCGUGGUGUAGCGGUGAAAUGCUUAGAUAUCACGAAGAACUCCGAUUG
rnacentral:rRNA from 1 species